CCUACGGGUGGCAGCAGUGAGGAAUAUUGGUCAAUGGCCGGAAGGCUGAACCAGCCAUGCCGCGUGAAGGUCAGUGCCCUAUGGGCGUUAAACUUCUUUUGUGCGGGAGCAAUACUGGUCACGUGUGGCCAGACGAGAGUACCGUACGAAUAAGCAUCGGCUAACUUCGUGCCAGCAGCCGCGGUUAUACGGGGGAUGCAAGCGUUAUCCGGAUUUAUUGGGUUUAAAGGGUGCGUAGGCUGUGAGGUAAGUCAGCGGUGAAAUGCCCCCGCUCAACGGGGUGAAGUGCCAUUGAUACUGCCGUGCUGGAAUGCGGAUGCCGUGGGAGGAAUGUGUGGUGUAGCGGUGAAAUGCAUAGAUAUCACACAGAACACCGAUUGCGAAGGCAUCUCACGAAUCCGCGAUUGACGCUGAUGCACGAAAGCGUGGGUAUCGAACAGGAUUAGAUACCCUAGUAGUC
rnacentral:rRNA from 1 species